rnacentral:rRNA from 1 species
ACCCGCCCGUCACACCAUGGAAGUUGGCCAUGCCCGAAGUCAUUACCCUAACCGCAAGGAGGGGGAUGCCGAAGGCAGGGCUGAUGACUGGGGUGAAGUCGUAACAAGGUAGCCGUACCGGAAGGUGUGGCUGGAUCACCUCCUUU